rnacentral:pre_miRNA from 1 species
AAAAAGACAAACCCUGGGUUUCCAUGUUCAACUUUAACUAUAUAUCUUAUAUGAAUUUUUUUUUAUAAUUCGUAUUUUCAUUGUUGUUAGAUGAUAAAACAUGAAACAUGAUUAAUAUUUUAUGUGUGACUUAUCUUUUUAAUUUUUUUUCAUAUUUUUUUUAAAUAAGACGGACGGUUAAACGUUGGGCACGGAAAUCAAGG